CACAGGUACGGAGACAUGGUUCCCAAGACGAUUGCUGGCAAGAUCUUUGGCUCAAUCUGCUCUCUGAGUGGGGUGCUGGUAAUUGCCCUGCCUGUCCCUGUCAUCGUAUCCAAC
rfam:Tetraodon nigroviridis, WGS project CAAE01000000 data, contig: CNS0BTLL, chromosome: 9